rnacentral:rRNA from 1 species
UACGUAGGGCGCAAGCGUUGUCCGGAAUUAUUGGGCGUAAAGAGCUCGUAGGCGGUCUGUCGCGUCGGCUGUGAAAACCCGAGGCUCAACCUCGGGUCUGCAGUCGAUACGGGCAGACUAGAGUGCUGUAGGGGAGACUGGAAUUCCUGGUGUAGCGGUGAAAUGCGCAGAUAUCAGGAGGAACACCGAUGGCGAAGGCAGGUCUCUGGGCAUUAACUGACGCUGAGGAGCGAAAGCAUGGGGAGCGAACAGG